AACGUAGGUUCCGAGCGUUAUCCGGAUUUACUGGGCGUAAAGCGCGUUCAGGCGGUUUGGCAAGUCGGGCAUGAAAUCUCUCGGCUCAACCGGGAGAGGUUGUCCGAUACUGCUGGACUUGAGGGCAGUAGAGGGUGGUGGAAUUCCGGGUGUAGUGGUGAAAUGCGUAGAUAUCAGGAGGAACACCAGUGGCGAAGGCGACUUCUUGGCCUGUUCUUGACGCUGAGGCGCGAAAGCUAGGGGAGCGAACAGG
rnacentral:rRNA from 1 species